rnacentral:lncRNA from 1 species
CUUAUGGGACUACUACCAUAUAUCCGAUCUGUCUGAUUCAAAGGUCAUUAAGCAGUGUAUGACUUAUAAAAGCCUCCAAAACAGUUAAAGGCAACAGUGUUAAAGCUGGAAAGAGCUUAUGGAAUCUGCUACACCUGGGCCAGGACCAGAGUGAAUUGUCAGCUCUCUGAGUGGCCACCAGACUGAAUCCCAAAAUGGCAAACAUCCCCCCACUUCAGCUCUUGCUUGUAGCCCAUAAUCAAGUUUACAUAAACAGAAAGUCUCCCAAUCUGCCUGGGACCUCAUCUUCCUAGCUGGGUCACCCCCAAGUUCCU